GUGAUCAACAGAUGACCCAGGUUUCAAUUAGCAGUUGAACUUAAGAAUCGAACUAAAACUAUUCUUGUAAUGCUUAGUCAUGUAGAUAACCAAUUAGAUUCUAAAAUUAGCUGGCUUUGAAAAGACAUAUAACAUCCCCAGAUGUAGCAGAGUAAGAAGCAGAAAUGCCAGUAGCAUAAAGCUUAAUUUAAACAGAGAAGGCAUAGCUCCUAACUUUGUUAAGAACAAAAAAACUCAUUUGAUUAACAUAAACUCCAUUUCCAAAGUAAAACUUCAUAGAUUUACUCUCAAUUAUUAAUCCCAAAUGAAACCGAAAUGGGUGUUUGCAAGGCGUAAAACUAAGUCCAAGAAGCCAAGUAAAAUACGAAGAAAACAAAUAUCUACCAUUUGACUGGAAAGAGGAAAAACCCAAGUACA
rnacentral:misc_RNA from 1 species